UCAGUGGGCUACAGCCAGAAGGAUUCUGUGGCAAGACAAAACGAACACCUCCAGUCCGUCCACCACCACCUAAUCAGAGCAAUCGUCUGAGAAGAUCUUUGAGCAAGACACAGACCAAUCGAGGAACUCGACCGAUACCUCCACCCCGUCCACCACCCCCUAAUCUUGGAGCACGUCUGAAUGCUCCUCAGACGGGUCGAAGAAAGUAGGAAAGGGAAAUGGUGCACUUCAAGUUUCGUGUUUUGAA